rnacentral:rRNA from 1 species
UACGGAAGGCAGCAGUGGGGAAUAUUGCACAAUGGGCGCAAGCCUGAUGCAGCCAUGCCGCGUGUAUGAAGAAGGCCCUUCGGGUUGUAAAGUACUUUCAGUCGUGAGGAAGGUGUUAAGGUUAAUAACCUUAGCAAUUGACGUUAGCGACAGAAGAAGCACCGGCUAACUCCGUGCCAGCAGCCGCGGUAAUACGGAGGGUGCGAGCGUUAAUCGGAAUUACUGGGCGUAAAGGGCACGCAGGCGGUUAAUUAAGUUGGAUGUGAAAUCCCCGGGCUUAACCUGGGAAUGGCAUUCAAGACUGGUUAGCUAGAGUCUUGUAGAGGGGGUAGAAUUCCAUGUGUAGCGGUGAAAUGCGUAGAGAUGUGGAGGAAUACCGGUGGCGAAGGCGGCCCCUGGGACAAAGACUGACGCUCAUGUGCGAAAGCGUGGGGAGCAAACAGGGAUUAGAUACC